rnacentral:rRNA from 1 species
UACAGAGGUCUCAAGCGUUAUCCGGAUUCACUGGGUUUAAAGGGUGCGUAGGCGGGUUGGUAAGUCCGUGGUGAAAUCUCCGAGCUUAACUCGGAAACUGCCGUGGAUACUAUCAAUCUUGAAUAUCGUGGAGGUAAGCGGAAUAUGUCAUGUAGCGGUGAAAUGCUUAGAUAUGACAUAGAACACCAAUUGCGUAGGCAGCUUACUACACGAUCAUUGACGCUGAGGCACGAAAGCGUGGGGAGCAAACAGG